ACAUUGCAAGUCGAGCGGACAGAUGGGAGCUUGCUCCCUGAUGUUAGCGGCGGACGCGGUGAGUAACACGUGGGUAACCUGCCUGUAAGACUGGGAUAACUCCGGGAAACCGGGGCUAAUACCGGAUGGUUGUUUGAACCGCAUGGUUCAAACAUAAAAGGUGGCUUCGGCUACCACUUACAGAUGGACCCGCGGCGCAUUAGCUAGUUGGUGAGGUAACGGCUCACCAAGGCAACGAUGCGUAGCCGACCUGAGAGGGUGAUCGGCCACACUGGGACUGAGACACGGCCCAGACUCCUACGGGAGGCAGCAGUAGGGAAUCUUCCGCAAUGGACGAAAGUCUGACGGAGCAACGCCGCGUGAGUGAUGAAGGUUUUCGGAUCGUAAAGCUCUGUUGUUAGGGAAGAACAAGUACCGUUCGAAUAGGGCGGUACCUUGACGGUACCUAACCAGAAAGCCACGGCUAACUACGUGCCAGCAGCCGCGGUAAUACGUAGGUGGCAAGCGUUGUCCGGAAUUAUUGGGCGU
rnacentral:rRNA from 1 species